rnacentral:rRNA from 1 species
UUGAAGAGUUUGAUCAUGGCUCAGAUUGAACGCUGGCGGCAGGCCUAACACAUGCAAGUCGAGCGGUAGCACAGAGAGCUUGCUCUCGGGUGACGAGCGGCGGACGGGUGAGUAAUGUCUGGGAAACUGCCUGAUGGAGGGGGAUAACUACUGGAAACGGUAGCUAAUACCGCAUAAUGUCGCAAGACCAAAGUGGGGGACCUUCGGGCCUCAUGCCAUCAGAUGUGCCCAGAUGGGAUUAGCUAGUAGGUGGGGUAACGGCUCACCUAGGCGACGAUCCCUAGCUGGUCUGAGAGGAUGACCAGCCACACUGGAACUGAGACACGGUCCAGACUCCUACGGGAGGCAGCAGUGGGGAAUAUUGCACAAUGGGCGCAAGCCUGAUGCAGCCAUGCCGCGUGUGUGAAGAAGGCCUUCGGGUUGUAAAGCACUUUCAGCGGGGAGGAAGGCGUUAAGGUUAAUAACCUUGGCGAUUGACGUUACCCGCAGAAGAAGCACCGGCUAACUCCGUGCCAGCAGCCGCGGUAAUACGGAGGGUGCAAGCGUUAAUCGGAAUUACUGGGCGUAAAGCGCACGCAGGCGGUCUGUCAAGUCGGAUGUGAAAUCCCCGGGCUCAACCUGGGAACUGCAUUCGAAACUGGCAGGCUAGAGUCUUGUAGAGGGGGGUAGAAUUCCAGGUGUAGCGGUGAAAUGCGUAGAGAUCUGGAGGAAUACCGGUGGCGAAGGCGGCCCCCUGGACAAAGACUGACGCUCAGGUGCGAAAGCGUGGGGAGCAAACAGGAUUAGAUACCCUGGUAGUCCACGCCGUAAACGAUGUCGAUUUGGAGGUUGUGCCCUUGAGGCGUGGCUUCCGGAGCUAACGCGUUAAAUCGACCGCCUGGGGAGUACGGCCGCAAGGUUAAAACUCAAAUGAAUUGACGGGGGCCCGCACAAGCGGUGGAGCAUGUGGUUUAAUUCGAUGCAACGCGAAGAACCUUACCUGGUCUUGACAUCCACAGAACUUUCCAGAGAUGGAUUGGUGCCUUCGGGAACUGUGAGACAGGUGCUGCAUGGCUGUCGUCAGCUCGUGUUGUGAAAUGUUGGGUUAAGUCCCGCAACGAGCGCAACCCUUAUCCUUUGUUGCCAGCGGUUAGGCCGGGAACUCAAAGGAGACUGCCAGUGAUAAACUGGAGGAAGGUGGGGAUGACGUCAAGUCAUCAUGGCCCUUACGACCAGGGCUACACACGUGCUACAAUGGCAUAUACAAAGAGAAGCGACCUCGCGAGAGCAAGCGGACCUCAUAAAGUAUGUCGUAGUCCGGAUUGGAGUCUGCAACUCGACUCCAUGAAGUCGGAAUCGCUAGUAAUCGUAGAUCAGAAUGCUACGGUGAAUACGUUCCCGGGCCUUGUACACACCGCCCGUCACACCAUGGGAGUGGGUUGCAAAAGAAGUAGGUAGCUUAACCUUCGGGAGGGCGCUUACCACUUUGUGAUUCAUGACUGGGGUGAAGUCGUAACAAGGUAACCGUAGGGGAACCUGCGGUUGGAUCACCUCCUU